rnacentral:rRNA from 1 species
AUGAACGCUGGCGGCGUGCCUAAUCCAUGCAAGUCGAGCGAACGGACGAGAAGCUUGCUUCUCUGAUGUUAGCGGCGGACGGGUGAGUAACACGUGGAUAACCUACCUAUAAGACUGGGAUAACUUCGGGAAACCGGAGCUAAUACCGGAUAAUAUUUUGAACCGCAUGGUUCAAAAGUGAAAGACGGUCUUGCUGUCACUUAUAGAUGGAUCCGCGCUGCAUUAGCUAGUUGGUAAGGUAACGGCUUACCAAGGCAACGAUGCAUAGCCGACCUGAGAGGGUGAUCGGCCACACUGGAACUGAGACACGGUCCAGACUCCUACGGGAGGCAGCAGUAGGGAAUCUUCCGCAAUGGGCGAAAGCCUGACGGAGCAACGCCGCGUGAGUGAUGAAGGUCUUCGGAUCGUAAAACUCUGUUAUUAGGGAAGAACAUAUGUGUAAGUAACUGUGCACAUCUUGACGGUACCUAAUCAGAAAACCACGGCUAACUACGUG